AGCUUGACUCUAGUCCGACUUUGUGAAAUGACUUAAGAGGUGUAGAAUAAGUGGGAGGCGCAAGCCGAAAGUGAAAUACCACUACUUUUAAUGUUAUUUUACUUAUUUCGUUGGGUAGGAACGGGGCCUCCGUGCCCUUUGUUCUGGCAUUAAGGCCUGCCUUCGGGCGGGUCGACCUAGGCGAAAGACAUUGUCAGGUGGGGAGUUUGGCUGGGGGGGCACAUCUGUUAAAGAAUAACGCAGGGGUCCUA
rnacentral:rRNA from 1 species